GUCCACGCCGUAAACGAUGAGUACUAGGUGUAGGAGGUAUCGACUCCUUCUGUGCCGCAGUUAACACAAUAAGUACUCCGCCUGGGAAGUACGGUCGCAAGAUUAAAACUCAAAGGAAUUGACGGGGGCCCGCACAAGCAGCGGAGCAUGUGGUUUAAUUCGAAGCAACGCGAAGAACCUUACCUAGACUUGACAUCUCCUGAAUAGCCGGUAACUCGGCGAAGCCCUUCGGGGCAGGAAGACAGGUGGUGCAUGGUUGUCGU
rnacentral:rRNA from 1 species